CGCGCUUUUCAGGAGGAUCAGUUUCAGACGAGGUAUGAAAGAGUCCAGCCGUGUGAAGUUGAAGUGGACAAGUGGAAGACGUGCCGCUGCCGCCGGACCCCCGAGGGCCCCUUUGGAGUUUACAAACACAGACAUAUGUUAACUGAUGGACUGGAGUGCUGUGGAUUAUUGUGACGUUUUUAUCAGCUGUUUGGACUCUCAUUCUGACGGCACCCAUUCACUGCAGAGCAUCCAUUGAUGAGACACUGAUGCAGUGCUACAUUUCUACAAAUCUGAUGACAAAACAAACUCAUUCUAAUCUUGGAU
ensembl:lncRNA